AUGGCCUGGUGCGCCCUGCGCAGCCGCCUCCACCCGCUCUCCCCCUCCUCCGCCGCCGCCGCCGCCGCGACGCCCCACCGGCUCCUGCUCUGCCUCCUCUCCACCGCGGCCCCGCGGCACUCCCACGGCCACCACCACCGCCGCCGCCACUCGCCCACCGCCUACGCCGCGGCCGCCGCCGAGUCGCCGCGCCCCAUGCCGCCCAUCGGCCGCGCCACGCGCCACCCCGCGGGGGCCACCCCCAUCGCGCGCGUCUACGCCGACGCCAACUCCCAGCGGCCCAAGGAGUACUGGGACUACGAGGCGCUCGACAUCGAGUGGGGGGAGCAGGAUGGGUACGAGGUGCUGCGGAAGGUGGGCAAGGGCAAGUACAGCGAGGUGUUCGAGGGAUUACGGACCAGGAGCGAAGAGAGGUGCGUCAUCAAGAUCCUCAAGCCCGUGAGGAAGAAGAAGAUAAAGAGGGAAAUAAAGAUACUUCAGAACUUAUAUGGCGGACCUAACAUUAUAAAGCUACUCGAUGUUGUCAGAGAUGAUGAUUCAAAGACACCCAGUCUGAUCUUUGAAUAUGUCAACAAUACUGACUUCAGAGUGCUCUACCCCACACUGUCGGAUUACGAUAUCAGAUACUAUAUAUUUGAAUUAUUAAAGGCACUAGAUUUUUCUCACUCACGGGGUAUCAUGCAUCGAGAUGUCAAGCCCCACAAUAUCAUGAUUGAUCAUGAGAAACGCCAGCUUCGUCUUAUUGAUUGGGGUCUCGCUGAGUUCUAUCACCCCAGGAUGGAAUAUAAUGUUAGAGUUGCUUCAAGAUGCUAUAAGGGCCCUGAAUUACUUGUGGAUUUGCUCGAUUAUGACUACUCGUUAGAUUUGUGGAGCCUUGGUUGCAUGUUUGCUGCAAUGAUAUUUCGUGUCGACCCUUUCUUUCAUGGUCAGGAUAACUACCAACAAUUAGUCAAAAUAACCAAGGUUCUUGGGACAGAAGAUUUCCACCGGUACCUUGAAAAAUACGGUCUUCGGCUUGACCCGCAGCUUGAAAUGCUUGUUGGAAGACACAGGAAGAAGCCAUGGGAGAAAUUUGUUGACUCAGGGAACAGACACUUAGUGAGCCCUGAGGCUAUUGAUUUUCUAGACAAGCUUCUUCGUUAUGACCACCAGGAAAGGCUUACAGCAAAGGAAGCCAUGGCGCAUCCCUAUUUCAACCCAGUAAGAGGCUCUGAAAGCACCCGGGAGAAUGUUCAAUAG
rnacentral:rRNA from 1 species